rnacentral:rRNA from 1 species
GAACGCUGGCGGCGCGUCUUAAACAUGCAAGUCGAACGGCAGGAAGGGGCUUGCCCCUUCCGAGAGUGGCGGACUGGUGAGUAACACGUGGGUGACAUACCUUUUAGUUGGGGAUAGCUAUUAGAAAUAGUAGGUAAUACCGAAUGUGACCGUACCUGUUAGAGGGGUACGAGGAAAGGAGCUAAGGCUUCGCUAAAAGAAUGGCUCGCGGCCCAUUAUGCUCGUUGGUGAGGUAACGGCCCACCAAGGCGAUGAUGGGUAUCCGGCCUGAGAGGGUGAACGGACACAUUGGGACUGAGAUACGGCCCAGACUUCUACGGGAGGCAGCAGUUAAGAAUAUUCCGCAAUGGACGAAAGUCUGACGGAGCGACGCCGCGUGGAUGAAGAAUGCCGAAAGGUUGUAAAAUCCUUUUAAGCCUGAUGAAUAAGCACAGUAGGGAAUGAUUGUGCGGUGACCGUAGGGCUUGAAUAAGCACCGGCUAAUUACGUG